rnacentral:rRNA from 1 species
GGACCCGCACAAGCGGUGGAACAUGUGGUUUAAUUCGAAGCAACGCGAAGAACCUUACCAGGGCUUGACAUCUGAAGAAUGCUGUGGAAACACAGCAGUGCCUUCGGGAGCUUCAAGACAGGUGGUGCACGGUUGUCGUCAGCUCGUGUCGUGAGAUGUUGGGUUAAGUCCCGCAACGAGCGCAACCCUCGUCGUCAGUUGCAUGCAGCGGUAUACUUCUGCAUUGCUCUCUGGCGAGACUGCCGGUGAUAAACCGGAGGAAGGUGGGGACGACGUCAAAUCAUCAUGCCCCUUAUGCUCUGGGCUACACACGUGUUACAAUGGCCGGUACAACGAGUCGCCAACUCGCGAGAGUGAGCAAAUCUACUUAAAACCGGUCUCAGUUCGGAUUGCACUCUGCAACUCGAGUGCAUGAAGUCGGAAUCGACUAGUAAACGCAGAUCAGCACGCUG